UAGGGAAUCUUCCGCAAUGGACGCAAGUCUGACGGAGCAACGCCGCGUGAGUGAAGAAGGUUUUCGGAUCGUAAAACUCUGUCGUUAGAGAAGAACAAGUGCUAGAGUAACUGUUAGCGCCUUGACGGUAUCUAACCAGAAAGCCACGGCUAACUACGUGCCAGCAGCCGCGGUAAUACGUAGGUGGCAAGCGUUGUCCGGAUUUAUUGGGCGUAAAGCGAGCGCAGGCGGUUCCUUAAGUCUGAUGUGAAAGCCCCCGGCUCAACCGGGGAGGGUCAUUGGAAACUGGGGAACUUGAGUGCAGAAGAGGAGAGUGGAAUUCCAUGUGUAGCGGUGAAAUGCGUAGAUAUAUGGAGGAACACCAGUGGCGAAGGCGACUCUCUGGUCUGUAACUGACGCUGAGGCUCGAAAGCGUGGGUAGCAAACAGGAUUAGAUACCCUGGUAGUCCACGCCGUAAACGAUGAGUGCUAAGUGUUGGAGGGUUUCCGCCCUUCAGUGCUGCAGUUAACGCAUUAAGCACUCCGCCUGGGGAGUACGACCGCAAGGUUG
rnacentral:rRNA from 1 species